rnacentral:rRNA from 1 species
UACGAAGGAUGCAAGCGUUAUCCGGAUUCAUUGGGUUUAAAGGGAGCGUAGGUGGCCUUAUAAGUCAGUGGUGAAAUCUCUGGGCUUAACCCAGAAAUUGCCAUUGAUACUGUAGGGCUUGAGUACAGUUGCUGUGGGCGGAAUAUGACAUGUAGUGGUGAAAUACAUAGAGAUGUCAUAGAACACCGAUUGCGAAGGCAGCUCACAAAACUGUAACUGACACUGAGGCUCGAAAGUGAGGGGAGCAAACAGG